rnacentral:lncRNA from 1 species
AUACAAAAAUAAAUUCAGGUCAUAAGAAAACCUUGCUCUGAUACCAUUGAAAGGUUGCGCAGGGGUUUCAUGCAUGCAUUUCAAAAAUUUUUAGCAAAAAAAUGUUAGAUUAAAUUAUUUAAUCUACAAAUACAUGCAUAAGAUCUGAUCUUAAAACUUCUACAAAUAGAUCUAUGAUAUGGAUUUAUAUGCAUAAAAAUCUGAAUUUAAAAUGACAAGCAUGUAGACCAAAAAACAGCAUUUAGUAAUAGAUCUAAUCUACCACUUCUAGGAUUCCGAACCCAAUAUCUGAGC